rnacentral:rRNA from 1 species
GUAGUCUGCAACUCGACUGCAUGAAGCUGGAAUCGCUAGUAAUCGCGAAUCAGAAUGUCGCGGUGAAUACGUUCCCGGGUCUUGUACACACCGCCCGUCACACCAUGGGAGCCGACAACGCCCGAAGUCAGUGACCUAACCGAGAGGGAGGAGCUGCCGAAGGCGGGGUUGGUAACUGGGGUGAAGUCGUAACAAGGUACC